rnacentral:rRNA from 1 species
GAGGGUGCGAGCGUUGUUCGGAAUUACUGGGCGUAAAGCGCGCGCAGGCGGUCCUUUAAGUCUACCCGUGAAAUGCCGGAGCUCAACUCCGUGCACGCCGGGGGAUACUGGAGGACUGGAGACAGGUAGAGGCAGGCGGAAUUCCGGGUGUAGCGGUGGAAUGCGUAGAGAUCCGGAAGAACACCAGAGGCGAAGGCGGCCUGCUGGGCCUUGUCUGACGCUGAGGCGCGAAAGCGUGGGGAGCGAACAGGAUUAGAUACCCUGGUAGUCCACGCCGUAAACGAUGGGCACUGGGCGCGGGUGGGAUCGACCCCUUCCGUGCCGCAGCUAACGCGCUAAGUGCCCCGCCUGGGGAGUACGGCCGCAAGGCUG